rnacentral:rRNA from 1 species
GACGAACGCUGGCGGCGUGCCUAAUACAUGCAAGUAGAACGCAGUUGCGAACGGGUGAGUAACGCGUAGGUAACUGCCUCAUAGCGGGGGAUAACUAUGGGAAACGAUAGCUAAAACCGAAUACUGUGAGAUGUACCUUCGGUGUAUUAGGUAGUUGGUGAGGUAACGGCUCACCAAGGCGACGAUACAUAGCCGACAGGAGAGGGUGAUCCGCCCCACUGGGACUUAGACACGGCCCAGAAUCCGUCGGGAGGCAGGAGUUGGGAAUCUUCGGCAAUGGACGGAAGUCUGACCGAGCAACGCCGCGUGAGUGAAGAAGGUUUUCUGAUCGUAAAGCCCUGUUGUUAGAGAAGCGGUAACUACCCAGAAAGGGACGGCUAACUACGUGCCAGCAGCCGCGGUAAUAC